UGGGGAAUAUUGGACAAUGGGGGCAACCCUGAUCCAGCCAUGCCGCGUUAGUGAUGAAGGCCUUAGGGUUGUAAAGCUCUUUUAUCCGGGACGAUAAUGACGGUACCGGAGGAAUAAGCCCCGGCUAACUUCGUGCCAGCAGCCGCGGUAAUACGAAGGGGGCUAGCGUUGCUCGGAAUCACUGGGCGUAAAGGGCGCGUAGGCGGUCUUUUAAGUCGGGGGUGAAAGCCUGUGGCUCAACCACAGAAUUGCCUUCGAUACUGGGAGACUUGAGUUCGGAAGAGGUUGGUGGAACUGCGGGUGUAGAGGUGAAAUUGGUGGAUGUUCGCAAGAACGCCGGUGGCGAAGGCGGCCAACUGGUCCGACACUGACGCUGAGGCGCGAAAGCAUGGGGAGCAAACAGG
rnacentral:rRNA from 1 species